CCCCGAGUGGGUCUGAGCCCAUGGCCAGAGCUGGAAACUCCAUGUGCUGCACCUUCCGCAUCAAAGCAUCCCAGCUCUUUAAGAGUCUGUUGCCUGUCAGUCACUGGGACGACGAGAGAAGCUCAGAAGAAAUAAGUUCCGUCAAACAAAGAGAUGACUUCAUCAACUAGGAGCACUCCUAGAACAGACUAGGCUGUGGAGCUCAGAUUCUGCAAAGCCCUGGCCAUCUAAGCUGUCUCUGCAUGAAGGAGAGAGAAAGGCAUGGAGAAAGAAGGUUUACUUGGUUUUGCAGUAGGCCACCACACACAUGAUGCCGACCACAAGGAGGGCGAUGCAGAUGCCGGUUAUGGUGAGCACUCUCUUCUGGUACAGCUCCUCCGCCUCUGGAAAGGGAUGAGAACAGAUGUCAUCACAGGUCACUUCCACUUGCCAGGACUGACUACAACCAAACAGUGGGCAUGCUGCAUGACAUUGUCCAUGUUCACAAGAAAAUAAAUACAUGACAAUUC